rnacentral:rRNA from 1 species
UACGAAGGGGGCUAGCGUUGCUCGGAAUCACUGGGCGUAAAGGGUGCGUAGGCGGGUUUUUAAGUCAGAGGUGAAAUCCUGGAGCUCAACUCCAGAACUGCCUUUGAUACUGAGAAUCUUGAGUACGGGAGAGGUGAGUGGAACUGCGAGUGUAGAGGUGAAAUUCGUAGAUAUUCGCAAGAACACCGGUGGCGAAGGCGGCUCACUGGCCCGUAACUGACGCUGAGGCACGAAAGCGUGGGGAGCAAACAGG